GACGAACGCUGGCGGCGUGCUUAACACAUGCAAGUCGAACGGAAAGGCCCUGCUUUUGUGGGGUGCUCGAGUGGCGAUCGGGUGAGUAACACGUGAGUAACCUGCCCUUGACUUUGGGAUAACUUCAGGAAACUGGGGCUAAUACCGGAUAGGAGCUCCUGCUGCAUGGUGGGGGUUGGAAAGUUUCGGCGGUUGGGGAUGGACUCGCGGCUUAUCAGCUUGUUGGUGGGGUAGUGGCAUACCAAGGCUUUGACGGGUAGCCGGCCUGAGAGGGUGACCGGCCACAUUGGGACUGAGAUACGGCCCAGACUCCUACGGGAGGCAGCAGUGGGGAAUAUUGCACAAUGGGCGGAAGCCUGGUGCAGCAACGCCGCGUACGGGAUGACGGCCUUCGGGUUGUAAACCGCUUUCGCCUGAGACGAGGCGUGAGUGACGGUAAUGGGUAAAGAAGCACCGGCUAACUACGUG
rnacentral:rRNA from 1 species